AUACUUACCUGGCAGGAGCCACACCAUGAUCAAGAAGGUGGGUUGCCCAAAUUGAGGCUUAGCUAUUGCACUCAGGCUGUGCUGACCUUUGUGAAUUCCUUGAAUGCAGGAAUCUCAACUGCAUAAUUUUUAGUUGUGGGGCACUGCGUUUGCGCUCUCCCCUU